UGUGAAGAAUGCUGCUGUGAACAGGGGAGUGCCCCUGCCUGUUUGGGUCCCUGCUUUCCAUUUCUUUGGGAGCUCUUGGAACAGAACCAGACUUCUGGCCGGGGCUCAGUCAGUGCUUGCAAGAUGUUUGUUGGCACCAGGCUGUGCCAGGAGAGCAUCAUUAUAAACUGCUGAUCUACUGUUUCUUUGUCAAACGGGAGGAGAUAACAUGAGGGUCAUGAGAAAUGUUUGCAGACGGAGUGAAUGCCUUGAAAGUGCUGCGACCAGGUGCUGACACCCGGAGGUCUGGCUGCUCAAAGUGUUAGCUGACACGGAAGACACACGGACUUUCCCUCCAUUCCCCAAAACUCCCCUUCCCUGACUCGUCAGCUGCAUAAAAACCCUCUCCUUAUCUCUUUGUCAAGGGGAUUUGAGAAAUCUUGCUGUCUUGUCUUCUUGCUUUGGCCAAAUGGAAUAAACCUUUCUCUGUCUCCAGACACCUA
ensembl:lncRNA novel transcript